rnacentral:lncRNA from 1 species
CCUCGGUAAAUAACAUAUUAUGCGGGGUUGCAAUGAUCUUUGGCUCUAGUCAGUUAAGACUAUAAAUGACAAGAGAGCACCUGCUCUGAUACCACUUGUUGCCCAAGGUGACAACCCAAGAGGGAGGGUGAAUUGGAUUUUUCUAAAUUUUUAGUGCUUUAAAAAUAUCCUUAGUUGAGUGCGGUGAAUGCUUUCUUAAAUUACUUCAAUGAAUUAAACUAUAGCAAAGAUGAAAGAUAAUGCAAGAAUAAUCACAAGUGAAUCCACAACACAAACAC